rnacentral:rRNA from 1 species
GACGAACGCUGGCGGCGUGCCUAAUACAUGCAAGUCGAGCGGACUUUCAAGAAGCUUGCUUUUUGAAAGUUAGCGGCGGACGGGUGAGUAACACGUGGGCAACCUGCCUGUAAGACGGGGAUAACUCCGGGAAACCGGGGCUAAUACCGGAUAAUAUCUUUCUUCGCAUGAAGGAAGGUUGAAAGGCGGCGCAAGCUGCCGCUUGCAGAUGGGCCCGCGGCGCAUUAGCUAGUUGGUGAGGUAACGGCUCACCAAGGCGACGAUGCGUAGCCGACCUGGGAGGGUGGUCGGCCACACUGGGACUGAGACACGGCCCAGACUCCUACGGGAGGCAGCAGUAGGGAAUCUUCCGCAAUGGACGAAAGUCUGACGGAGCAACGCCGCGUGAGCGAAGAAGGUCUUCGGAUCGUAAAGCUCUGUUGUCAGGGAAGAACAAGUACCGUUCGAAUAGGGCGGUACCUUGACGGUACCUGACCAGAAAGCCACGGCUAACUACGUGCCAGCCGCCGCAGUAA